rnacentral:hammerhead_ribozyme from 1 species
AUCCAGCUGACGAGUUUCAAACAGGACGAAACGCGAGUCCUGGAU